UGUAUAAGUUGAAUAACUUGGACAGUAUUGUGGUGAUUACAACUCUUGGCUGAUUGGCUACCUCAUCUGAUUAUCCUCACCUGCGUUGAUGAGCUGACUGGCUUUAUAAGGCGUCGGCUCCAGAGGAUCAACGCUGAUGCAUCUAACCAUUUUGGACAAACUCACGUUGCCAAGUCGUCUGGAUCMUCGAACAGCCUCUCUUGAAACUCAUCCACCCGCAGGAACAAUCAGGACAUCAUCAGGAACCCAAUCAGCCACUCUGCCUGAAGAAACUCACCACUUGGAACCCCUCCUCUGAUCCAUGCUCCUUACCACCAGGAAAACCUCAAGACGCCCCAAAACUCCUCAGCACUGUAAAUAAACUCACUUACCUUUUCAUCUUGUCUCCUGGUCUGGUCUCUCAGCUCCGCUGCCCUGUUGAACAAAGUUAGCAUC